GUAUAUUUGUUAAGAGGCUAUUUGCAGAAGGCUUUCGUGGGGUGUCGAGCUGCUGGUUGUCAGUUCCACCUGGCAGAUACGAGCAAACACCUUCCUCUGGGGAGCACGUGGUGGAAGGUGAUGCUGUGAAGAUCCAAUUACACUGCACGGUGAGACUUAAAUACAGAUGUAGAGGAAGAUGGUAAUAUGAACCUGCAACACCUAUCACAACACAUUAACUGAACUAGUCAAGUGUUCAGUCUAAUGUUGGAAAGGAGAGUUACUUGAAAAAUGGGCAUCAUGUGGAAGAUACCAGAAGAAUACACAGUAGCAAAGAGGUCCUAACUCCAAGAACUUAACUCUGCAGAGAGAGGAUGGGUGAUAAGAACAAGGAAAAGAGGUGAUCAGGUUAUGCCCUGACAUGGGACCCUGGAGUGCUCCUAUUACCCUACGCUGGCUCAGCAGUGAGUGCUU